rnacentral:rRNA from 1 species
GACGAACGCUGGCGGCGUGCUUAACACAUGCAAGUCGAACGGAAAGGCCCUGCUUUUGUGGGGUGCUCGAGUGGCGAACGGGUGAGUAACACGUGAGUAACCUGCCCUUGACUUUGGGAUAACUUCAGGAAACUGGGGCUAAUCCCGGAUAGGAGCUCCUGCUGCAGGGUGGGGGUUGGAAAGUUUCGGCGGUUGGGGAUGGACUCGCGUCUUAUCAGCUUGUUGGUGGGGUAGUGGCUUACCAAGGCUUUGACGGGUAGCCGGCCUGAGAGGGUGACCGGACACAUUGGGACUGAGAUACGGCACAGACUACUACGGGAGGCAGCGGUGGGGAAUAUUGCAGUAUGGGAGGAAGCCUGAUGCAGCAAAGCAGCGUGGGGGAUGACGGCAUGCGGGUUGUAAACCGCUUUCGCCUGUGACGAAGCGUGAGUGACGGUAACGGGUAAAGAAGCACCGGCUAACUACGUG